GUGAGAAUUUUUAGCAGAAUGAUUCUUGAUAUUAUGUUGGAUCAUGUUGGAAUUCCUAGAGCUAUUUAUCGGAGAAGGAUGUACCCGCAUAACACAAUGACUGUCACCGUGCUUUUCUACCGGAGAAAUGCACGCAUUUGAGUAUUUCUGUCAGCCAUCUUCGUAAACAAAUGUUUGUUGUUUCCUUGGUAUUUAUUUCCAUUGGCAAAACGCUGCUUAUCGGCGGUUGGAACUAUGCUUCCAGCAGUAUCACUUGCCAUGAUGAGCUACAUCAUUAAUUCUCAUUUUGUGUACUUAUCAACUAAAAAGCACGGACACGGGGACGGAAAGACGGGGAUACGGAUAUGGGAUACGGGAUUUUCCAAAAAACAGCCAUUCGGGGAUACGGCGAGUAUAUAUAAAAUAAAAUAAAAAUAUGCCAUGUAAUAUAGAGUUAAGACAGAAAAUUAAAGAGAAAUAGAUCAAAAUAAAGAAUAGACUAGAGUACUGCCCCAUUUGGUGUCUCUUUUAUCAAGUGCUUGAUCGAUCCUCGUCCCCCCAUCUCAUUGUAAGUUGCAUCUUGCAAAACACGUCAAACACAAAUUGGCUACCAGCUGUGGCGCUCCCAGAUGCCAUGCCACUUACUAGUUGCUACCUAUCAACAAGUGUGCAGCAACAAAAGCUGUUAAAUUCAGAAAUAGGCAAUAGCACUAGCAGGCUAGCAGCAGCAGCAGCAGCCCAAGCAGCACAAGCGAGCAGCAACAGCAUAACAAACAGCAGCAGCACAAGCAGAGAGGUAGCAACAACAAGUCAACAACAAGCUAGCAAGCAUCCAGACCCAGUAGCUUAAUCCCUUAAUAAUGGAACAAAAUCUGAAUCUUAAGAAUAAAAGAGGAAGAGGUUGAAGAAUGGAGAAGCUGCUGGGUUACCUACAGGCUACAGCUGCGAGGAGCCGAGGAGGCGAGGAGAGAGAGAGACUGCUGCUGCUGGUGCUGGAUGGAGGAGUCGCCGUCGAAUCCAGGAGUCGCCGGCGCCGGCGGCGGCGAGUCCAGGUGGUGGGAACUUCGAUCCAGAAGGUGGCGGCUCCUUCUGUUCGAGCUGGGAAGCAGGGAGCAGCUCGUAUGGCACGCUGGAGACCCUGCAAAAUAGGGUUACAUAUUGGGCCGUGGCUGGCCCGGGGGUGUGUUUUUGGGCCAGGCCGUAUCCCUAACGUGUCCCUGCGUAUCCCGGCGUAUCCCAGUCGUUUU
rnacentral:lncRNA from 1 species